AUUGAACGCUGGCGGCAUGCCUUACACAUGCGAGUCGAACGGCAGCACGGGUGCUUGCACCUGGUGGCGAGUGGCGAACGGGUGAGUAAUACAUCGGCACAUGUCCUGUCGUGGGGGAUAGCCCGGCGAAAGCCGGAUUAAUACCGCAUACGAUCUCCGGAUGAAAGCGGGGGCCCUUCGGCCCUCGCGCUAUAGCGUUUGCCGAUGCCUGAUUAGCUAGUUGGCGGGGUAAAGGCCCACCAAGGCGACGACCAGUAGCUGGGCUGAGAGGAGGAUCAGCAACACUGGAACGGAGACACGGUCCAGACUCCUACGGGAGGCAGCAGUGGGGAAUAUUGGACAAUGGGCGGAAGACUGAUCCAGCCAUAAAGCGUGGGUGAAGAAGGCCUUCGGGUUGUAAAGCACUUUUGUUGGGAAAGAAAAGCAGCAGGUUAAUACCCAGCUGUUAUGACGGUACCCAAAGAAUAAGCACCGGCUAACUUCGUG
rnacentral:rRNA from 1 species